ensembl:lncRNA LCIIAR lung cancer immune cell infiltration associated lncRNA
AGAACCUCCCCUCCCCCGCCGGGGCCUGGGCGCGCCUGCCCUUCGCUCCCCGACCUCCUGCUGCAGCUCUGGGCCCCUCGGCCGCUCCCUCCCCUCCUCCCUUGCUCACCCCACGGUUGGCCGCGGAUCUCCAGCACGCCGCCCCAGUCCUCGGCGUCCCGCAGCGCCUGCCAGGGUCGCCGAGCCUCCCCUGCCUCCUGGCCGCCUCUGCAGUGCCGUCCUCCCGGGGCUGGCUCUCUCCCCAGGCCCCCGCUUUGGCCACCCAGGCACUUUCCGCCCUGAGCGUGGCAGCUGCUGCCGGGGGUCCUGGGACCGCGGGAUGGGAACUCCCACGCAGCGUCCCACAGGCUCCUGGCCGCCGCGAGCCCGCGCGACUCGCACGAGCAUGUCCACCCGCAGCGAGGGGCCGGUCACUGCUACGGAGCCCGCCAGAAGGCAAAGCCCCAGACAGCAAAUAGGGAGGCGGCUGGCACCCAGGGAGGCCGAGGCGGGAGGAUCGCUGGAGCCCAGGAGUUCGAGACCUGCCUUGGCAACAUACUCCCUCCAGCGUGCCAAAUGCUGCUAAUGGACAGCCGCUCCUGCCGCUCUGAUGUUGCUAGACCUCCUCAGCACUCAGCCCAAGGCAGCCAGGAAGAAUGAACGAAUGGUGAUUCAGAGGGAAAGGAGGAAGCUGCGUGGCAUUUCAGAGAUACUUAUUUUAAAACUGCUGGUGGCCAUGUCUUCUUUUCAUAUCAGAGCUAAUGAGUUUUGAUAUGUGAACAUUUCUUCUCCUUCAUAGAAAACUCUGCUUCACAAACACAGGAUAUUGGAAAUGGAAGUGGGCUUUUCAGUGCUUUGGGAACAAUCACAGGAGAUUCUGCCUUGGCUGUAAUCCAGAACGUAUGGAGAUUUGAAGUUGUCGCAAACAUACUUUGAAGGCCACCAGAUGCAGCUGUACAAUUGAAGUCCAUCAGCUCACUUGCCUCAAUAAAGCCUGCCACUGCA